rnacentral:rRNA from 1 species
GACGAACGCUGGCGGCGUGCUUAACACAUGCAAGUCGAACGGAAAGGCCCUGCUUUUGUGGGGUGCUCGAGUGGCGAACGGGUGAGUAACACGUGAGUAACCUGCCCUUGACUUUGGGAUAACUUCAGGAAACUGGGGCUAAUACCGGAUAGGAGCUCCUGCUGCAUGGUGGGGGUUGGAAAGUUUCGACGGUUGGGGAUGGACUCGCGGCUUAUCAGCUUGUUGGUGGGGUAGUGGCUUACCAAGGCUUUGACGGGUAGCCGGCCUGAGAGGGUGACCGGCCACAUUGGGACUGAGAGACGGCGCAGACUCCUACGGGAGGCAGCAGUGGGGAAUAUUGCACAAUGGGCGGAAGCCUGAUGCAGCAACGCCGCGUGCGGGAUGACGGCCUUCGGGUUGUAAACCGCUUUCGCCUGUGACGAAGCGUGAGUGACGGUAAUGUGUAAAGAAGCACCGGCUAACUACGUG